GACGAACGCUGGCGGCGUGCUUAACACAUGCAAGUCGAACGGAAAGGCCCUGCUUUUGUUGCGUGCUCGAGUGGCGAACGGGUGAGUAACACGUGAGUAACCUGCCCUUGACUGUCGGAUAACUUCAGGAAACUCGGGCUAAUAUCGGAUAGGAGCUCCUGCAGCACGUGGGUGGUUGGAAAGUUUCGGCGGUUGGGUAUGGGCUCGCGGCUUAUCAGCUUGAUUGGGUGGUAGGGGUUUACCAAGGGUUUGACGGGUAGCCUACCUGAGCGGGUGAACGGCCUCAAUGGGCCUGAGAUACGGAGCAGACUCCUACGGGCGGCAGCAGUGGGGAAUAUUGCGCAAUGGGGGGAAGCCUGAGGCAGAAACGCCGGGUGCGGGAUGACGGCCUUCGGGUUGUAAACCGCUUUCGACGGUGACGAAGCGUGAGUGACGGUAAUGGGUAAGGAAGCACCGGCUAACUACGUG
rnacentral:rRNA from 1 species